GACGAACGCUGGCGGCGUGCCUAAUACAUGCAAGUAGAACGCUGAAGAGAGGAGCUUGCUCUUCUUGGAUGAGUUGCGAACGGGUGAGUAACGCGUAGGUAACCUGCCUUGUAGCGGGGGAUAACUAUUGGAAACGAUAGCUAAUACCGCAUAACAAUGGAUGACACAUGUCAUUUAUUUGAAAGGGGCAAUUGCUCCACUACAAGAUGGACCUGCGUUGUAUUAGCUAGUAGGUGAGGUAAUGGCUCACCUAGGCGACGAUACAUAGCCGACCUGAGAGGGUGAUCGGCCACACUGGGACUGAGACACGGCCCAGACUCCUACGGGAGGCAGCAGUAGGGAAGCUUCGGCAAUGGGGGCAACCCUGACCGAGCAACGCCGCGUGAGUGAAGAAGGUUUUCGGAUCGUAAAGCUCUGUUGUAAGUCAAGAACGGGUGUGAGAGUGGAAAGUUCACACUGUGACGGUAGCUUACCAGAAAGGGACGGCUAACUACGUG
rnacentral:rRNA from 1 species